rnacentral:rRNA from 1 species
UCUCCUCCUAAAGAGUAACGGAGGAGCACGAAGGUUGGCUAAUCCUGGUCGGACAUCAGGAGGUUAGUGCAAUGGCAUAAGCCAGCUUGACUGCGAGCGUGACGGCGCGAGCAGGUGCGAAAGCAGGUCAUAGUGAUCCGGUGGUUCUGAAUGGAAGGGCCAUCGCUCAACGGAUAAAAGGUACUCCGGGGAUAACAGGCUGAUACCGCCCAAGAGUUCAUAUCGACGGCGGUGUUUGGCACCUCGAUGUCGGCUCAUCACAUCCUGGGGCUGAAGUAGGUCCCAAGGGUAUGGCUGUUCGCCAUUUAAAGUGGUACGCGAGCUGGGUUUAGAACGUCGUGAGACAGUUCGGUCCCUAUCUGCCGUGGGCGCUGGAGAACUGAGGGGGGCUGCUCCUAGUACGAGAGGACCGGAGUGGACGCAUCACUGGUGUUCGGGUUGUCAUGCCAAUGGCACUGCCCGGUAGCUAAAUGCGGAAGAGAUAAGUGCUGAAAGCAUCUAAGCACGAAACUUGCCCCGAGAUGAGUUCUCCCUGACCCUUUAAGGGUCCUGAAGGAACGUUGAAGACGACGACGUUGAUAGGCCGGGUGUGUAAGCGCAGCGAUGCGUUGAGCUAACCGGUACUAAUGAACCGUGAGG